rnacentral:tRNA from 1 species
GUAUGGAAAUGGUUAAGAUGUUGGUCAAAGGAUACAAAGUUGCAGUUCUAUAGGAUGAAUAAGUCUAGAGAUGUAAUGCAUAGCAUAACUAUAGUUAAUACUGCAUUGUGCAUUGGAAACUUGCGGAGAGUACAUUUCAUGCGCUCUCACCACUUACACAAAAUAGUAACUGUGAAGAGAUGUAUUAUGUUAAUUAGCUUGACUGUAGAAAUCAUUUCACUGUGUACAUGUAUCAAAACAUCAUGUUGUACACCUUAAAUAUAUAGUUUUUAUUUUUAAAACACUGUUUGGGAUUAAAAGCCCAGCUAAUUCUGCCUUAAUAUCUCAUUCUUAUCCACAAUGUCCACCCAUAAGAAAGACGCCCGAUACUCCGUGUAAACACACACUCCCCAUCUCCCAUACAAAUUUACCUUCUAGAGAGAGCCCUUUUCCCCAAACUCUCCUCUCAAAACACUCUGAAGCACAAGGUCUUUAGCCUAGUUAGACAUUUUCUGAAAAACUUAGUUUAACUCAGCGUAGAGACACCAUGAAUUUCAGAGACCCAGUCCUGGGCCUGCUUCAGUUGCUUUAGCCUAGAGUUUCAACUCCCAGGUCCCGGGGAGGGAUGCUCCAAGGAAGAAAUAGAGGCCCUAUUCCAGGGCUGUUUCUCGCAGACUAGCCACAGAAAAUGCAGCCCAGCGCCACUUCCUUUCAGUAGCAACACGUUUCCAACACGUUUGUUAAGCGGGAACGGAAGUGAGCGGAAAGGAAUGCGUUUGGUAAAUCCCACUUUAAGGAUUUCGUAAUCCUCCCAGGGAUUCCCACCACCCGCACUCCACUCGCAGACUGCGGGCCUUCCUCCGACGCUGGGAGAAGGACCCUGGGAGAGGCAAGGGAAGGGCUCCGGAACCAGCGCAGCAGCGGGACGCUAGCCCGCCCACACGGCGGCCACUUGAAGGUCCUCCAGGGAACACCUGAGGCAGUGGGAGCGUCUGCCCUUUCCUAAGUCUCCUUGGAAAGAAGUAUUCGCUUUCGUUUCCGCAAACAAAGCAUGCUCCGCGCUUUCAGGACCGGUGGCUCCCGUGGAGACCGCAGCGGAACCCAGUCCGCCUUCGCACGCGUCCGGGGGAGAAGCGGCCCCAGGACUAAGGGCGCGCGCCCGAGGAACCGGUGCUGUGACGACCAGAGCAAACACGCCGGAUGUUCCUGUGUAGGCUGUGUAAGGAGUGACCGGAAGUAGAAACUGGGUGCUCCAGUGGCGCAAUCGGUUAGCGCGCGGUACUUAUAUGGCAGUAUGUGUGCGAGUGAUGCCGAGGUUGUGAGUUCGAGCCUCACCUGGAGCAUUGUUUUCCAACCCAAAAUAGCAUUACUUGAAGUGCCUUUCCCCCUGUAAUCCGACUCCAUCGUCUUUAACGUGUUUGGAAUUGUGUACACAGUUUAUUGUUAUUGGUUUCCUUAGCCUUUUUAGAACCAAGCAACGCCAAUUACCAACAAAAUCCGUUGCGCCGCAGUGAGUUAGCUACCUUCUAUCUCCACUUUGUUCUGCACGUCGAUCUCAGGUAAAGAACAUCAUCUCUUUACAUCCUUCUUUCCACUUUGUUCUUAGGAUCAUCGAUCAUCGUUCCUCGGGGAGCCCCUGGCACAUACUUAGUGCUAAGAAACUCCCAUCAGGUGAUAAGCAUUGAACUCCAUUUAAGGAAACUCAAAAGUGGGAAAUAGUAAAAGGUUCCUGUCUGAUUAAAGCUCUGAUUGGGAGGGGUGUGGGGGGACUGAUUUCUGACAACAGUGUCCCCUCCAGUAUUUUUCCCCCACUUAAUUUUACCCUGAUAAAAAUCAACAGUCAUGGAAGAUCUAGCAGCUUCUAUCAACUGAGAAACAGCACCUGGUGUCCUCAGGCAUUCAAUUACCUGGACUUGGAAAAGGAUGAGUGAUAAUAGACCCAGAAACCUGAAAUCUUUAGAACAGCAUUACAAGAAUAAGCAUAUUGUUGUGGCUGAGGUGGGUAGGAAGUAGAUAGGGAUUUUGACUUUAAAAUAGGCUUCCUCUCCCUAUGACACCUGCAGUUUGCCUGGACAUAGCUUUUAUCAUAUGCUUCCCAACUCUUCAGCAAGAGAGGGAAUUGAACUGAGUAAUUGGGAGUUGUUUUCCUAGCUAUAAAGAUUGCCACAAAUCUGAAAGCACAUGUGUCCCACUUGGGACACGGAGGUGAGUGGAAUUAAGCUGAGCACAGAUAACUCUCUCUUGAGAUCUGUAUUCCUAAAUGGGUCUUGCAUGUAUCUGGACAUUGUCCACUCACAGACUCUCUCCUGAGAAAGGUUAGCGAGGUCCCGUUCAGGAAUGCACCAGAUGAUAAUAAAGUGAACACCUUCUCACUUUGUAGCUCUUGCUAAGCCACUGGAGUACCUUAAAAGCUAUCAAAGCAUAAUCUUCAAAUAUAUAUAUAGUAACUAAUCACCAAAUAUUUAUUUAAGUCACUAAUGAGAAAAGGAGGAGUAUGGUAAACUGAUUGCAAUGGCAAUAGAAAAGGCUGGUAAAGGUAUAGUCAGUGGGGGAAAAAUAAUGCUGACAUGAGAUUGCAAGUUUAAGUAAAAAACUAGCUAAUGUCCUAUGAGGCAGUGAAAACUAUGGCCUUUGGGAUUAUUUUUAUCUAAAAGACAGAAACUAGUUGCAUCUUUACUGGGUAAAAAUCAUUCAAAACUUAAUAUUCUACAUAAUGACAUUUAACCUUGUAAUCUAUUUUCUAAUCAUUAGUAAAUAGUGACCUCCAAAAGUUCCAUUAACUUAGAGGAUUACUUGCCCCUUCAGUGGGCUUGUUAGACAAUGCUCUAGUAUUAUUUUGAAAGAGUACUAAUAUCUUUUUUUUUUGCCUUAUAUUAACUUUUGGAUAUUUUUUCUGAAUAGAUUUAGCACCUUAAUUCAAUUAUUUUAUCUCUGUUCCUGAUCAGUUGAAGGUAUUAUUGAGUGUCUUCAGACAGUGUUUAAAAAAUGGUGACCUUUGCCAUAAAGAAUUUUUGUGAACUGGCUUAAGCCAGUUUUGUGAUACACAACUUUGGGUGCUUUUGGUAGAUGUCUGUAGGCAGCUUACUUUAUAGUACUUUAUACUAUACCUUACUUUAUAGUAUAAAGUAAGGGAUAGUUAGCUACAACAUACCAACGAGUUAUAGUGAUAGAAGAUCUUCAACAAAAUUUUGUACAUAUAUAGUCAUUUAUUAGAAAGCAAGCAAAAAACAGUCAUAAAACCUGUUCUCUAAGCUCAAUGAAGUUCCCACGGUUUUGUCAUUUGUUUUUGUUGUUGUCAUUGUUGUUUUACUAACUUCAAAACUACCUUUCAUGAAAGCUUUGCUUGAGGCAAAUGCAACAAUAUUUCAGAGUGAGGAUUCAGCCAAACAUCUCUAAGAAGAAAACCUCUGGACACAGCAGGACACAGAAAUACUGAAAUCUCCAGCCUAGGGCACCAUCCCUCAAGUUAAAGGCUAGAACUCAUUUAAUUUUUAUUCCCUUUGAACAGUGUCUCUUAAAUAUUUAAUUCAUUUUGGGGAGUUUGUCUUCACUUGUGGUAGACUGGAUUCCUGAAAAUGACUGAAACAGUAUCCCUCGUUCCCUUCUGCAAUGUGAGCUUGGCACCUCCUCAGCUAGAAGUAGAGUCUGUUUCCCUUCACCUUGAAUUUGGUUUGGGUUUGUAACUACUGUGAGCAAUGGAAUGCAGUAAAAAUAACAUUUUGUGAUUUCUCAGCCCAGGCAGUAAGAAAACAUAUCAGCUUCCACUUUUACCUUUAAGGAGAAGCCAGCUCCCAUGUUAAGAAGUUCAAAUACCUAGAGACUGCGAUGGUUUGCAGAGGCUCAAGCUAACCACAUGGAAAGACAUGGAGAGAUAUUCCUUGCCAACCCUCAACUACUCCAACUAUUCUAAGACAUCAAACCUAAAAACAAACCGCAGGUCACCCACCGGUCUGAAGAGGAGGAUGAGAGACAAAGAAAAAAGUUGUCUGGCUGCCUCUGCUGUCUACAGAUUGAAGAAGAUCCAUCCAGCUGAGCCCAGCCUAGACCAGCUGACUUCUCCAAUAAGCCUGUAUGAAAUAAAUGCUUAUUGUUAUGUGACCUUGAGCUUUGAAGAUAGUUUGUUAUGCAAUAAUUGUUGAUUCUUUCACCCUGUCUUUGUUGAACUGUUAUAGACGUCUUAAUAGGAGUUCACAAUUCAG